rnacentral:rRNA from 1 species
AGUUAGCCGUGGCUUAUUCCUAUGGUACCGUCAAAAUUUCGUCCCAUAGAAAAGACCUUUACACCCCGAAAGGCGUCAUCGGUCACGCGGCGUCGCUGCAUCAGACUUUCGUCCAUUGUGCAAAAAUUCCUCA